AUUGAACGCUGGCGGCAGGCCUAACACAUGCAAGUCGAGCGAGCGGCGGACGGGUGAGUAACGUGUGGGAAACCGCCCGAUGGAGGGGGAAAAACAUCGGAAACGGGAGGCAAUAACGCAUACUACCAGAAGUGCUCAGAUGGGAUUAGCUAGUGGGUUGGGUAACGGCUCACCUAGGCGACGAUCCCUAGCUGGUCUGAGAGGAUGAACAGCCACACUGGAACGGAGACACGGUCCAGACUCCUACGGGAGGCAGCAGUGGGGAAUAUUGCACAAUGGGCGCAAGCCUGAUGCAGCCAUGCUGCGUGUGUGAUGAAGGCCUUCGGGUUGUAAAGCACUUUCAGCGGGGAGGCGUUACCCACAGAAGAAGCACCGGCUAACUCCGUGCCAGCAGCCGCGGUAAUUC
rnacentral:rRNA from 1 species